rnacentral:rRNA from 1 species
UACAGAGGUCUCGAGCGUUAGGCGGAAUCACUGGGCUUAAAGCGUGUGUAGGCGGGUCGUUAAGUCCCUUGUGAAAUCCCAUGGCUCAACCAUGGAACUGCUUGGUAUACUGGCGAUCUUGUGCAACCUAGGGGCGAGCGGAACAGAUGGUGGAGCGGUGAAAUGCGUAGAUAUCAUCUGGAACGCCAAUGGUGAAAACAGCUCGCUGGGGGUUUGCAGACGCUGAGACACGAAAGCCAGGGGAGCGAACGGG